rnacentral:rRNA from 1 species
AGCAAUACAUGGGUGGCGAGUGGCGCACGGGUGCGUAACACGUAUGCAAUUUGCCCAUAACUGGGGGAUAGCCCUCCGAAAGGAGGAUUAAUACCCCAUAACCCAGCGAGGUGGCAUCACCUUUCUGGUAAAUCUCCGGAGGUUAUGGAUGAGCAUGCGUCCGAUUAGCUAGUUGGUGAGGUAACGGCUCACCAAGGCAACGAUCGGUAGGGGGUCUGAGAGGAUGAUCCCCCACACGGGUACUGAGACACGGACCCGACUCCUACGGGAGGCAGCAGUAAGGAAUAUUGGACAAUGGAGGCAACUCUGAUCCAGCCAUGCCGCGUGAAGGAUGAAGGCCCUACGGGUUGUAAACUUCUUUUCUCUUAGAAAAAACUACUGGUUUCGUACCGGUACUGAUUGUACAAGAGGAAUAAGCAUCGGCUAACUUCGUGCCAGCAGCCGCGGUAAUACGAAGGAUGCAAGCGUUAUCCGGAUUCACUGGGUUUAAAGGGUGUGCAGGUGGGGUAAUAAGUCAGUGGUGAAAGCCCCCGACUCAAUCGGGGAACUGCCAUAGAUACUGUUAUUCUUGAGUGUGGUUGAGGCGGAUGGAAUAUGACAUGUAGCGGUGAAAUGCUUAGAUAUGUCAUAGAACACCGAUCGCGAAGGCAGUCCGCCAAACCAUUACUGACACUGAAACACGAAAGUGCGGGG